rnacentral:rRNA from 1 species
UAGAUUAAAACAGGUUGGUGGUAGUAAGUUCAAUAUAGGUUCAUAAUAAAUGGGUGUAAAUAAUUUGGCAAUUAAUUUGUUCAACCUAGGGAUAACAAUGGUGUUUAUCGGGCAACUGUAUAGCAAAUACACAGGGUUUAGUUAAAGAUGUUUAUAUUUUAGAGUUGAAAUGUGACCAGUAUUUAUGAAUUUCAACAAACGUUGGCCAUAACUAUAAUGGUCCCAAGGUAGCAAAAUUCCUUGUCGUUUAAGUAACGACCUGCAUGAAGCAUGCAAUGAUUUGAUAGCUGUUUUAUAUUAAUGUGUUGGUGAAAUAUUAGUUGGUGUCAAGAUACGUCUUUUAUUGUUACGGGACAAAAAGACCCUGUGAAGCUUUAUAGGAUACAAAUUAGUACGGAU